GGCGGCCGUAGCGCGGUGGUCCCACCUGACCCCAUGCCGAACUCAGAAGUGAAACGCCGUAGUGCCGAUGGUAGUGUGGGGUCUCCCCAUGCGAGAGUAGGGAACUGCCAGGC
rnacentral:rRNA from 1 species